ACGAUCAAACCGUUCAAUUUAAAGUUUUUAAUUCAUAGAUCAAAUCUGUAAAUUUUUAGAAAAUUUAAAAAUCAUUUAAUACUUCGUUUCAUUAAUUCGAAUCAAUGUAUAAAAUGAUUUUAUGAUUAUCCGUCAAUUUGAAUUAAUGAAACGAAGUAUCAAAUGAUUUUCAAAAUUUUUUAAAAUUUGCAAAUUUGAUCUAUGCAUUAAGAAUUUUAAAUUGAAUGAUUGGAUCGU
rnacentral:miRNA from 1 species